AAAAGAUUAAGUGGUGUAGUGGUAAGUUAGUUUCACUUGAAAUCUCAAGUCACGAGUUCAAAUCUCAACUACAACAAAUAUAAGAUUGUUUUUCUUUUUUCCAUACAUAUCCUUGAGGGUUAUCGGCACUCAAGAAAAUAUCUAUUAUUCUUGGGUGUUUUUAUAUUUUAUUGGGUGCCAUCGGCACUCAAGGAAACCUUGACACUCAAGAAAACCUAUAUC
rnacentral:lncRNA from 1 species